AUACCUACGGGGGGCAGCAGUGAGGAAUAUUGGUCAAUGGGAGAGAUCCUGAACCAGCCAAGCCGCGUGAGGGAAGACGGCCCUAUGGGUUGUAAACCUCUUUUGUCGGAGAACAAAACCCGGGACGUGUCCCGGACUGCGUGUAUCCGAAGAAAAAGCAUCGGCUAACUCCGUGCCAGCAGCCGCGGUAAUACGGAGGAUGCGAGCGUUAUCCGGAUUUAUUGGGUUUAAAGGGCGCGUAGGCGGACUGUUAAGUCAGCGGGAAAAGCCCGGGGCUCAACCCCGGCGAGCCGUUGAAACUGGCG
rnacentral:rRNA from 1 species